CCUGGCUUAGGAUGAACGCUAGCUACAGGCUUAACACAUGCAAGUCAGGGGCAGCAUGGGAUAGCUGCUAUCCAGAUGGCGACCGGCGCACGGGUGAGUAACGCGUAUCCAACCUUCCCUAUAGUAGAGAAUAGCCCGGCGAAAGUCGGAUUAAUGCUCUAUGUUGUGUUUUGAGGACAUCUGACGAACACCAAAGGUUCACCGCUAUAGGAUGGGGAUGCGUCUGAUUAGCUUGUUGGCGGGGUAACGGCCCACCAAGGCGACGAUCAGUAGGGGUUCUGAGAGGAAGGUCCCCCACAUUGGUACUGAGACACGGACCAAACUCCUACGGGAGGCAGCAGUGAGGAAUAUUGGUCAAUGGGCGAGAGCCUGAACCAGCCAAGUAGCGUGCAGGAUGAACCUGCCCUAUGGGUUGUAAACUGCUUUUAUCAGGGAAUAAAGUGCGGCACGUGUGCCGUUUUGUAUGUACCUGAUGAAUAAGGACCGGCUAAUUCCGUGCCAGCAGCUGC
rnacentral:rRNA from 1 species